UACGUAGGGUGCAAGCGUUGUUCGGAAUUACUGGGCGUAAAGCGCGUGUAGGCGGCUAGGUAAGUCGGAAGUGAAAGCCCUCGGCUCAACCGAGGAACUGCUUUCGAUACUGCUUAGCUUGAAUGCGGGAGGGGAGAGCGGAAUUCCCGGUGUAGCGGUGAAAUGCGUAGAUAUCGGGAAGAACACCGGUGGCGAAGGCGGCUCUCUGGACCGUGAUUGACGCUGAGACGCGAAAGCGUGGGUAGCAAAUAGG
rnacentral:rRNA from 1 species